GCUUUCCUGGACUCUGAAGAUUAGCUUUUGGGUGUCAGAAUAUACGUUUUCCGGAAUUUUAGAGAUGUCGUAGUGUCUUGGCUUGUUUGUUUAUUUGUUUUGUAGUUCACUUUAGUAAAUAACAUAUCCACCAAGGCAACACGGGAGUUGCCUGAACGAAUCAGAGCCUGGUAUCGCAUCCGGGUAUUGUGUGUGUAUUUUUAUCAAUUGAUUCGUAUCCUAGAUAAAAACCAGAGCUCGAAGCUAUUUUGGUUUUUAUAUGGUUUUUAAUCGUGUACAAGCAGGAAUGAUAUCAAGUCUCAUCCUGGCUCUCUGAAACUGGCAGCUGUUCUGGGACUGUGAUUUUUUCAGGACACUCUGGUGAAGAUACCCAUUGAAGAAAUCUGCUGCUGAUAAUCUUUUCUUUAACAUUACUGUUUUGAAUCCAACCCAACCAUCCUGAAAGGAAUUACUGCAUCAAUGUGGCGUGACAUGGAGGCGAUCAGCCUGUGGCACUGCUGAGGUGUUCUGGAAGCCCAGGUUGCUUUGAUAGCGGCCUUCAGCUCAUCUGUAUUGUUGGGUCUGGUGUCUCUCAUAGAUUCUCUGUGGGGUUCAGGACAGGUGAGUUGGCUGGCCAAUUAAACACAGUAAUACCAUGGUCAGCAAACCAGUUACUAGUAGUUUUGGCACUGUGGGCAAGUGCCAAGUCCUGCUGGAAAAGGAAAUCAGCAUCUCCAUAAAGCUCAUCAGCAGAUGGAAGCAUGAAGUGCUCUAAAAUCUCCUGGUACACGCUGUAUUGACUCUCGACUUGAGAAAACACAGCGGGCCAACACCAGCAGAUGACAUGGCACCCCAAAUCAUCACUGACUGUGGGACUUCACACUGGACUUGAUUUCCAAAUGAAAUGCAAAAUUUACUUUCAUCUUCCCCAUGAUUGUGGUUGUGUGUUCUGAACCAGACAGAGAUAUAGAAUAUAUCAAAGUUCCACUUUUUGAAUUAAAUUACAGGGGGAAAAAACCCCAAACUUUUCCACGAUAUUCUAAUUUUUGAGAUGCACCUGCAUACACACAGUCAUGUGGAAGAAAAAAAAAAAGAACACCCCAUGGAAAUUGUUGGCUUUUUUGACACAUGUCUCUGUAUGUGUAAUUCUAUCAUUAUUUGAUUUUUUUUUUUUUUUACUUUAACUGUACUAGUACUACUCUUGCACUUAUUUUUGAAGUGGAUUUUGAGUAAUUUGAGUGACUAAGUAAUUGAGAAAAUCUGAAAAUGCUGGUGUGUAAUAAUCACACUUUACACACAAUCAAUCAAUCAAUCAAUAAAUAAAUAAAUGGGCCAAGCACAAAACGGCAAAAGUUACCAAGCAAAUAGUGGCACGGGAGAUCUCAGGAGUGCAUUUGUUUAAUUCUUACUCAUUUUCUGACCAAUGAUUUGUUGUUCAGACCAUUAAAAAGCUCAAUCUUUUUGCCAUUUUGGGCUUGGCCCUUUUGUAUUUUUUUUUUUUUGGCUCAGGAGUGUACAGUAGAUCAAACAUGAUUAUUGACACUUUUAAAAGCACAGAUGACAGAAUGAUUGUUUCUAUAAAUGCAUGAAAAGCAGAUAUUUUCAACUCAACUCAAAUAUAUUGUGCACAAACCAAACCAGGACAAAUUGCCUUACUAUGGGAAUGUGUUGAUAAGGCUCUCCUGAAGCAGGCAGCCGAAUGAGACCACCACCCCGACAUCAAACUGCCCACUGGACUCCACCCUGGGCCACUCAUGAACCCGGAGCUCGUGCUGCUCUGCGAACUUCCGGACAGGGACAUUAUUGGACAAAGUGACAACCUCGAGCGAGUCCAGCACAGAAUCAGCUCCGUCUCCUCUGCAACAGGACACGGACACACACACUUUAACACUGCAAACGCAUUCUUUCGAAGAGGAAGCAAGUCUUGAUUAAAGACAUGGACAUUCUCACCGAGCUGCAUGAAGCCGUUUCAGAGACUCUACUGCGAAAUCGUCACUUCCGAAGAACAAUAUUCUCCACGGAGGAUUUGAGACACAGCGGGUCUGUAUGAUACAGGACACGACUGAAGUCUUCCUGUGCUGUCUCUGACUUUGACCAGCACAUGAUGCAAACUUCCCUUUAACGCAUCGCCGACAAAAUCCGCGGAUAAAAUAAGGAGCAUUGUGGAUUACUUUCACACCGACUUGAUUCCACAUCCUUAAAUGAUAUAAAUAUAUACGCACACACAGCUGUGUGAAUUUUAUCUGAAGCCGGUGAUGACCUACUAGCAUUCAAUAGCUAGAGGCUCGGUGGUUGUUUUUUUUUAACAUUAACAAAUAAAUCCGUUUAAACAUU